AUUGAACGCUGGCGGCAGGCCUAACACAUGCAAGUCGAGCGAGCGGCGGACGGGUGAGUAAUGUAUGGGGAAUGCCCGAUAGAGGGGGAUAACUAAUGGAAACGGUUGCUAAUACCGCAUACCAUCGGAUAACCCAUAUGGGAUUAGCGAGUGGGUGGGGUAAAGGCUCACCUAGGCGAAGUUCUCAAGCUGGUCUGAGAGGAUGAUCAGCCCCACUGGACCGUGUACACGGCCAAGACUCCUACGGAGGCAGCAGUGGGGAAUAUUCCACAAGGGGCGCAAGCCUGAUGCAGCCCUCCCGCGUGUAUGAAGCGGGCCUUAGGGUUUUAAAGUACUUUCAGCGGGGAGGCGUUACCCGCAGAAGAAGCACCGGCUAACUCCGUGCCAGCAGCCGCGGUAAUAC
rnacentral:rRNA from 1 species